UGGGGAAUAUUGGACAAUGGGGGCAACCCUGAUCCAGCAAUGCCGCGUGAGUGAUGAAGGCCUUAGGGUUGUAAAGCUCUUUUGCCAGGGAAGAUGAUGACGGUACCUGGAGAAUAAGCCCCGGCUAACUUCGUGCCAGCAGCCGCGGUAAUACGAAGGGGGCUAGCGUUGUUCGGAAUUACUGGGCGUAAAGGGCGCGUAGGCGGCCGUUUAAGUUAGGUGUGAAAGUCCUGGGCUCAACCUGGGGACUGCACUUGAUACUGGAUGGCUUGAAUUCGGGAGAGGAUAGCGGAAUUCCCAGUGUAGAGGUGAAAUUCGUAGAUAUUGGGAAGAACACCGGUGGCGAAGGCGGCUAUCUGGACCGACAUUGACGCUGAGGCGCGAAAGCGUGGGGAGCAAACAGG
rnacentral:rRNA from 1 species